rnacentral:lncRNA from 1 species
AUGAAAGGCAAUGCCAAAGAAUGCUCAAACUGUCGCACAAUUGCACUCAUCUCACACGCUAGUAAAGUAAUGCUCAAAAUUCUCCAAGCCAGGCUUCAGCAAUACGUGAACCGUGAAAUUCCUCAUGUUCAAGCUGGUUUUAGAAAAGGCAGAGGAACCAGACAUCAAAUUGGCAACAUCCGCUGGAUCAUCAAAAAAGCAAGAGAGUUCCAGAAAAACAUCUAUUUCUGCUUUAUUGAAUAUGCCAAAGCCUUUGACUGUGUGGAUCACAAUAAACUGUGGAAAAUUCUUCAAGAGAUGGGAAUACCAGACCACCUGACCUGCCUCUUGAGAAAUCUGUAUGCAGGUGAGGAAGCAACAGUUAGAACUGGACAUGGAACAACAGACUGGUUCCAAACAGGAAAAGGAGUACGUCAAGGCUGUAUAUUGUCACCCUGCUUAUUUAACUUCUAUGCAGAGUACAUCAUGAGAAACACUGGCCUGGAAGAAACACAAGCUGGAAUCAAGAUUGCGGGGAGAAAUAUCAAUAACCUCAGAUAUGCAGAUGACACCACCCUUAUGGCAGAGAGUGAAGAGGAACUAAAAAGCCUCUUGAUGAAAGUGAAAGAGGAGAGUGAAAAAGUUGGCUUAAAGCUCAACAUUCAGAAAACGAAGAUCAUGGCAUCCGGUCCCAUCAUUUCAUGGGAAAUAGAUGGGGAAACAGUAGAAACAGUGUCAGACUUUAUUUUUGGGGGCUUCAAAAUCACUGCAGAUGGUGAUUGCAGCCAUGAAAUUAAAAGAUGCUUGCUAUUUGGAAGAAAAGUUAUGACCAACCUAGAUAGUAUAUUCAAAAGCAGAGACAUUACUUCGCCGACUAAGGUCCAUCUAGUCAAGGCUAUGGUUUUUCCAGGAGUCAUGUAUGGAUGUGAGAGUUGGACUGUGAAGAAAGCUGAGUGCCAAAGAAUUGAUGCUUUUGAACUGUGGUGCUGGAGAAGACUCUUGAGAGUCCCUUGGACUGCAAGGAGAUCUAACCAGUCCAUUCAGAAGGAGAUCAACCCUGGGAUUUCUUUGGAAGGAAUGAUGCUAAAGCUGAAACUCCAGUACUUUGGCCACCUCAUGCGAAGAGUUGACUCACUGGAAAAGACCCUGAUGCUGGGAGGGAUUGGGGGUAGGAGAAGAAGGGGACGACCGAGGAUGAGAUGGCUGGAUAGCAUCACUGACUCGAUGGACCUGAGUCUGAGUGAACUCCAGGAGUUGGUGAUGGACAGGGAGGCCUGGCGUGCUGUGAUUCAUGGGGUCGCAAAGAAUUGGACACAACUGAGUGACUUAACUGAACUGAACUGA